GACGAACGCUGGCGGCGUGCCUAAUACAUGCAAGUAGAACGCUGAAGGAGGAGCUUGCUUCUCUGGAUGAGUUGCGAACGGGUGAGUAACGCGUAGGUAACCUGCCUGGUAGCGGGGGAUAACUAUUGGAAACGAUAGCUAAUACCGCAUAACAGUAGAUAUCGCAUGAUAUCUACUUGAAAGGUGCAAUUGCAUCACUACCAGAUGGACCUGCGUUGUAUUAGCUAGUUGGUGAGGUAACGGCUCACCAAGGCGACGAUACAUAGCCGACCUGAGAGGGUGAGCGGCCACACUGGGACUGAGACACGGCCCAGACUCCUACGGGAGGCAGCAGUAGGGAAUCUUCGGCAAUGGGCGGAAGUCUGACCGAGCAACGCCGCGUGAGUGAAGAAGGUUGUCGGAUCGUAAAGCUCUGUUGUAAGAGAAGAACGAGUGUGAGAGUGGAAAGUUCACACUGUGACGGUAUCUUACCAGAAAGGGACGGCUAACUACGUG
rnacentral:rRNA from 1 species